UACAGAGGGGGCAAGCGUUGUUCGGAAUUACUGGGCGUAAAGGGCGCGUAGGCGGCCUUCUAAGUCGAACGUGAAAUCCCCGGGCUCAACCCGGGAACUGCGUCCGAUACUGGAAGGCUAGAAUCCGGGAGAGGGAUGCGGAAUUCCAGGUGUAGCGGUGAAAUGCGCAGAUAUCGGGAGGAACACCAGUAGCGAAGGCGGCUCGCUGGGCCACACCUGACGCUGAGACGCGAAAGCUAGGGGAGCGAACAGG
rnacentral:rRNA from 1 species